rnacentral:lncRNA from 1 species
GAGGGAGACAAGGCUGCUGAAUUUGUGCCAUGGAAAGAUGAUAAAUCAGCAGGUUCUACUGCCCUUCAGAGCAGUGAGACCAAGUCUCCAUUCUGCUCUGAGAUCAUCUAUAGAAUGAGGAUAAUAGCACCCUUUUCAGGAGGUUGGUGUUAAUAAUACUUAACAAAAAUACAAAUAUCAGAUUCCAAGUCUACUAAAAACACAAAAAUUAGCCAGGUGUGGUGGCAGGCGCCUAUAAUCCCAGCUGCCCUGGAGUCUGAGGCAGGAGA